rnacentral:lncRNA from 1 species
AGAGUGUGCACAAGACAACAAAGAAAGGAAAAUCAAAUCCGAAGAAUCCAGUGUGAGUCCAGUGUUUUUGUACCUCCGUUGCGAAAGAAAAAGCUUGCUUGCGAGGAUGACAAUGGUGGCUGCUGUGCUGGAAAAAUAUAAAUUUUAGGUUGUGGUCUUUGAGAAGGAGAAAAGAGAGUAAAAAGGCUUGAGAAAGGAGAUGAGGGAUGUUGGGUAAUGGUGCUGUGAGAGGAAGGAUGCUGGGAAAGAUAAUGGUGUUGUGAGAGUGAAUUCCGAUGCAUAAAAACCACACUCUCUAUCUCUAUGAAAUUCAAUAUGAUCACUCUCUCUCUCUUUGAAAUUCAAUCUGCUGUGCACUGGAAUCUUUGACCACCUUUAAAGAUUAAAC